rnacentral:lncRNA from 1 species
AAAGCAGAACGUGCUGUCAUUUUUUAUUCUGACUUCUCUAUUUUGAUCAGAGCAGUGUAUCACAAGUGUAGGACUGAGGAUCUUCUGGAUCUUCUGCUAUCAGCUGUGUUUAAAGAGUGAUGCUGCCAUGUCUCCCCAAAGAUCAGCACAUAUCACAGCAGCAGUGAUCCUCAUUUUACUGGCAGGCCACCAAAUACCAGCUUCAUCUAGAAAUACAGUCCAACAGGUUGUAGGACAGAGUGUGGUGAAACUGACCUGUAGCUCUACCUGCAGCUCCAGUGGAAACUGUUACUACAGAUGGUACGAUGGUUCCUGGUCGAGCAAUUACUUGGGCUGUUCAUCUAGUGCCACAGUUUGGAUCGACUCCACCAGUUCAUCUAAUAAGAAAGGAUACUCCUGUUAUGUCAAUAACAAAGUCCAGCCUCCUUCAGACUGUAAGUACAGCGGUGGUCUGUCUCUCAGUAAAGAGAAUCAUUCAGGAUGUUUAGAACCAGGAACUCGGGUUCUACUUUAGAAUUAUGAGGUUCCUCUUUUGAACAGUCCAGUUCUGAAAAACCAAGUAAGAUUUUACUUCUGUAAAAAAACAAUUUCCAAGAUCAGCUCUUGCUCAUUCAGGAGGCUUCAGGAAUCCUGGUUCUUGUGCUGCAUGAUUUAUUUAGAAAGCCCAGAGAGGUUUAGUGCAGAUACACAGAUAAAUCAACUAUAAAAUUACUGAAAAAUUCCCCCCAAAUUAUAUUUAUACUUAGCACAGAGAUUUGAUUAGCUAUACACAAGCUAAUAAAACUUAAUAUAAGUAUUUAUUGUGUUAUACU